rnacentral:lncRNA from 1 species
UCAAACUCUUCAGGAUGCAGAAAGGCAGUGAACUCCUCCGGAGUAGCUGUCAGGUCACCAUUGAGGUCUGCAGCUUUGAAUCUUCUCUCAUCACGUGGCAGCAUCUUUUUAAAGGUUUUCAGCUCCUCAGUAGUGACAAAGCCAUACCCAUCAUUGUCGAUUCGAUCAACAAUCUUCCCUAGCCUCUCCUUGCUCUCGUCCGGGGUGAGCUCGUCGAAGUUCUUGGAGUCCUCCUUGCCCAGGAAGGCCUCGUGGUCGUACUGGAAGCUCUGGUUGUCCUCAGGGGGCCGCUCGCCCAGCUCCGAGUCGGGCCGCACCACGCGCUCUUUGCGCACCGUGGGCUUGGCCCGCAGAACCCGCGGCGCCAGCACCAGCGCCAGCAGCAGCCCCAGGGCUAACCCCAGGCGGCCACCGCGCGCCAUCGUCCCGAGGAGAGGGCGGCCGGGAGGGAGACGCUGAGCGAGCGACAACAGCGGCAGCUCGGGAAUGGGGGCUCGGAGCGCGGCGGCCAAGUUUUAUGUUAUGUAUAUUUUACAAGUAAAAAAAUUUUUUCACCUCAGCCUGAACUGAACACUAGCUGACAGACGUUUUGAUUUCUUUGACCAUCACGGAAUCGUGGCCAAGCGCGGUG